rnacentral:lncRNA from 1 species
UGCUGUAGGAGCACCAACCCGACGAGCAUCAUUUUUGUUGGUGCAUAGAGGAGAGCUGUAGGUGAAGCCAGAGGAUCCCCCUUUGCCUGACAGGAGCUUUACAAAGGAAGGUCAGUCACCAGCGUGGCCCUUGUCUCGGGGUGCUGCGGGUGCCUACGCUGGCAGACAAAAGCAGGUCAGGGAACAACCCAUGCUGACCAGCCGAUGGAGCAGGAUGGCCACGGCUGCGCUGCGGAGGAUGUGAUCCCCAGGCUCCUGUGGGCCAUCUUUGUUUGCAAGGCUAUUGAUGCUUCUGAUCCCAGCCUGCCUCCCUGCAGGGGGAGACGCAAGAGGAGGAGAUGUGGAGAAGUGUUGGAGAAGAGCAGAGGACAAACCUAGAGGAGUGGGCUGCUACAGGAACCAGCUUCACUUCUUGGCGUUGCAUUCUGCUGCAGCAUGGCUCCAGCUCUGAUGGCUCUAAGUGAUGUCCAAGGAGAAAGCUUGGUGAUUUAGAGAUGAAGAAGAAAGGAAUCGCACCCUUGACUCAGCAGAAACACAAGAGUGGAAAAUAACCCUUCUGACAGCUAGACAACGACACUGAACCAGUUCAGGAGAAAUGGAAGGUGGUCAUGGGAGCUGACCUUCAUCGGGAGAGACCUUUGGGAUGGAUCCGCCGGCCAGGAGAGGGAACGAGAAGCCUCCUGCAGGAAAGAGAAGUCAGUCUAGCUCAGGAGAAGCUCCUGGGAGAGGGACAUUCCUGUCGCUCACCCUUCCCGUGCCAGCCCUGCUCCAUCUGCUGGCAAGAGCCAUGCGGAGCCGCUGCUGUUGCCCGCGGGAUCCAGCCCCUCCUGUCCUCCUCCCCAGCCCACGUUCCCUCCACGGCUUCAUUUCAUGUGCCUCAAGUGCCGAGGGAGAGAAGAGCAGAGCCUCCCCCAGACACAGGAGGGAGAACAACCCUUAUUUUUGGAUCCCUGCUUUCCCAUGAGUUUCCCUCUGUUUUAGCCUCUAAAAUGCCAUCAGAGUUACAAAUUAAGUACUCUGCAUGCCGUGUAUUUACUAUCUGAUGUGUUGGCUGGGAAGUUGACUCCCCUGCUCACCCGUGGUCAGCCAAACCCAAUGGAAAUACCCUGCAAGUCCCCUGAGGUUGCACAUGGGGAUACUGAUGGGAAUGGAGUGAGAUGGCAGCACCAGCUGCUGCCUCAGCCAAGUGCCCAGGAAACCAGGGUACAGCUCUGAAAGGUGUUCAGGGGAAGCAGGAGUCCUUUGGCUCUUUGCUUUGCUGCUCAGCACUUUGCAAGGGUAUUAUUUUGGCUCUGCCUCCAUUUUUCCCUUGCCUACUAAGUGUUUAAGAGAACAGGCUGAGGAAAGCUCUGAUUUUUUCAAAAUAUGAAAGCAACAUGGAAAGCUUUUGCCAUGUAUGAACCUGCAUGGCACUGUGAAUUUGACUCACUUUUCUCUGUACCUGGAGAUGCAUGGUGAUCACAGCUCCCCUAUGGAAGGGUUUUUCAGCUCUGGCAGCAUGGGCAUUAAAUGCUUUUUCCUCUUGUCUUGCCUUCUGCUUUUGGGAAAUCAUCUGCACCUGGAAUUUGUGUCUCUUUUCCAUAUGGGAAAAGAAGUGUGUUCAUCCUGCUGUGGUCCCUACAUAUGGCAAAUCUUCCAGCUCUGGGUUACAGGCAGUCAGGUGAACGGGGUAGGUUCAGCUUCCCCACAGCAGCUGGCUCCUCGGGGAGGGAAGGAGGGCAGCCAGCGUCAGACCAGUGUUUACAGAAAGUUUAGUCUCCAGUGGAUUUCCCUAUUCCAGUGAAACAAUGGGAGGGUCUUGUGCUGUAUUAUCGGUGCUUCCUCUUUAUUCCGAUAUUAUCUGUGAAUUCUUGCAAAUAAUAGAUGACUGAGACUAUUGUUGUUUUGGGAAGUAGGAAGAUGAAAACAUUUCAUGGACCUUAGCAGUUUCAAUAGAGUUAUUCAUUGUGUUUGUAGUUAUGCAAGUCAGAAACAAGCAAAAUACCUGUUGGAAUAAAUAAUAACCCUGUGUAUUCACAAAAGCAGUUCUCUUACACCUCACUUUUAAUAAGAGAGACUGUUUCAGUCAAACAGGUGCUAGAGAGUUCAAAAUAAAAAAAGGAAAGCAAACAUUACUCCACUCUUAAUACCACGAGAUUUUGGGAAGCAAUCCAUCCCAGCUCUUCCAGGUAUCUGCUUUAAUGCAGGCAUGCUGAUAUAAAUUGCAUGAUGGUGAUUAAUAAAUCUUCUAUCAAUUGAACUUGAAGUCAAAAGAACAUACUUUUUUUUUCUUUUUUCUUUUCUAAACCUGCAUUAAAAUAGAUUAUUCAGAACUCUUGGAAUGAAAAGUGCUAGGUCAAAACUCACAUUUUUCUAGCAAGUCUAUGAAAAUUUACUAUAAAAAUGUCGCAUACUGUAGAAUCUCAAUUAUCCUGGAAGGCUUAUCCGGGUUAUGGCUUAAGUGUGCUAUUCAUGUGCUGCCAAUUUGCUCUAGAAGUACAAGAUGAGCUGCAGUGCCUUGCAAAGCAGCUGAACAGUUCCCUGGGCCAGCUGAAAUCCAGAAGCCAUUCAAUGGAUUGAUUUGGGUGCAGAAGUCUUGCAGCUUCCCUGCAGUCCCAUGCAGAGCUUCUCAGAGCUGGAAGCCACAGAGCCAUGUGGGUUCUCUGCACCUCUGGCAGGACUCAGAAUCUUCCUCUACAUCACGUGCUCCUCAUCUGGGAAGUCUUCUUGGUUUACAAACCUUGCCCUGCAACUGCACAGAGAUGGCUGUGGCAUGGGCCUGCACAGAAGCCACCUAUGGGUACCUGGCUGGACACUAAAACCUCCUGCAUCACUCAUGUAUUAUUAAUUCCUGUUACUUAAGACAUUUCUUCUCUUCUUCACCUCAAAUAAAGGAGACCUGUUGAUAUACCCAUGGGUAUAAUACUUUCUGGUCUUGGUAGAAAUUCUCUGGCUCAUUGUACUUUAACAUUGUUGAUAUUUUUUAUGCAUAUGCAAUUAAUAAAAAUUGGGCAAAACAUUUUUUUU